UUGAACUAUUUAGCUGAGCGCACGGUCUAAGCACCGGCGCCAUAUCCUUCAAAUGUCUGCCUUAUCAACUUUCGAUGGUAGAUUAUGCGCCUACCAUGGUUGUAACGGGUAACGGAGAAUCAGGGUUUGAUUCCGGAGAGGGGGCCUGAGAAAUGGCCACCACAUCCAAGGAAGGCAGCAGGCACGCAAAUUACCCACUCCCGGCACGGGGAGGUAGUGACGAAAAAUAACAAGCUGGUCUCUUUGAGUUCCGGCAUUGUAAUGGGAACAACACAAAUCAUUUAUCGAGGAUCUAUUGGAGGGCAAGUCUGGUGCCAGCAGCCGCGGUAAUUCCAGCUCCAAUAGCGUAUAUUAAAGUUGUUGCGGUUAAAAAG
rnacentral:rRNA from 1 species